rnacentral:tRNA from 1 species
GGGUGCAUAGCUCAGUUGGUAGAGCAGCUCCCUCUUAAGGAGACGGUCGGGGGUUCAAAUCCCUCUGCGCCCA